GAUUUCUGGCUUGGUGCGCGCCGUCCGCUGCGGUUACGUAGUGUGUGCGGUUGUGCGCCUGCCAUCCUGCUGGUUAGUAUUCUGGGCCCUUCACUGGGUUUCAGGUACUGAUCGGCUCUUUUACUUUGAAAAAAUUAGAGUGUUCAAAGCAGGCUUGCGCUAUGAAUACAUUAGCAUGGAAUAAUAAUUUAGGACUUUUGUCCUAUUUUGUUGGUUUCUAGGACGAAAGUAAUGAUUGAUAGGGAUAGUUGGGGGUGCUAGUAUUCAGCGGCCAGAGGUGAAAUUCUCGGAUUCGCUGAAGACUAACUUAUGCGAAAGCAUU
rnacentral:rRNA from 2 species